rfam:Ixodes scapularis strain Wikel colony gcontig_1108379609242, whole genome shotgun sequence.
CCCUGGUUAGCUCAGUUGGUAGAGCGCUCCACUUAAAUGGAGAGGUCCCGGGUUCGAUACCCGGACCAGGCG